AAAUGCAUCUUUAUUUGAUAUGACAUCAAUAGCAAGGUUUGAUGAGACUAUGAUUCUAAAAAAAUGAAUAAUCAUCAAUAGAGAUUUUAUUUUUAACAAAAUAAGAGUUAAUUAUCAAUAUCUUAAUAUCAAUAAUAAUAAGAAUUUUAAAGAUUUAUUUUUUUCACUACUAAGAAAUUUAUAAGAACAAUUGUAAUGGCUCUCAAGGUGGUAAAAUUCAAUUUUACCAAGGUCUUGAAAUCUUCUAUAAAAAUUCUAAAAAAAUUGUAAAAAAUAAUAUAAUAAUUUUAUAAUAAUAAUAUAUAUUCAAAAUUAUAUUUUUAUAUCUUGAUAAUAUUUUACAAUAAUAAAAUAAAUUUAUAUCCAUUAAAAAUUCUAUUUUUUAUAUAAUUAACAAAAAAGACAUGAAGUUCUCUUUUAUGCUUUUUUUAACAAGUAACUAAUAUUUAUAGUUUUUUUUAUAAGUGAUACAUAUAGAUAUAAGGCCAAUAUAAAUAUUAAUCUUUAAUACUCAAUAAUGAAUAAAAAUACUAAACCAACUAAGAUAAUUACUUCUAAGACUUAUUGAGACUCUAUUUCUACAACUAACAUUUUAAUUUUCUAUUUGUCUAAGGAUUUUUACACUACUCACCAUAUAUUAUGAUUUUAAGAUCUCUAAAUACAUCUUUUUGUUCUAAAAUAAUUAAUGAGUUGAUUUGAUGACUCACAUAUGGCACAUGCAAAUAAGCAAUACAAUCAAAUAUCUUUAGGUAUUGUAAUUUUGGUUUCUUCUUAUAAUAUAAUUCUAUUGGUAUCUUUCUAUUAUUGAAUUCACUUGGACACAAGUUUACUAAGUAGUUUGAUGUAUUAAUAGCUUUAGGCUAUAGGCUCAAAUAUAAUUUAUUUUCAUGAAUCAUACUUUUGGCUUUUUCUACUAUUCUUCUAUUGCACCUAUUAGCAAUACCAUUUUGCUAAGAAAUCAGAGCUUAUAUUAUUUGUCUUGUUAUUUUGCAUUUUUUAAAAAAAUAUUGAAAUUCUUUAAAUAAGAAUUAUCUAUUUUUUUUAUUCUAAGCAUGAGCAAUUUCUUAGUUGUUUUUUUUUUUCUUCAACUUGAGCUUUGAAUAUGUAAAACUUAGAGAAUGUUUCUUUUUUGGACUUAAGAAAGUAAAUCCAACUUUGGUAAGAAAAAUUAUUUUUAAAUACUACCAAGUACUUGGUCUUGCUUAGAGAUGGUUUUUAAAUUUAUCCAACUAUAUCUACAUGCACAAGUUGAAGUAGAUUUUUUGAUCUAUUAAGACUUUAU
rnacentral:lncRNA from 1 species